GUGGCUUCAAAUCAUGAAUUUAUUAAUGCUUGCAUAUUUUUGUAAUGUGUUUGCAAUGUUUUAUUGAAGCCUAUAAUUGUGUUCCCCUCGCUAUCCACUACAGCAAUUCUAAUGCUGUAAUUGGACGUCGGGGAACAAAAUUU
rnacentral:snoRNA from 1 species